CACGUAGUUAGCCGUCCCUUUCUGGUAAGGUACCGUCACAGUGUGAACUUUCCACUCUCACACCCGUUCUUCUCUUACAACAGAGCUUUACGAUCCGAAAACCUUCUUCACUCACGCGGCGUUGCUCGGUCAGGGUUCCCCCAUUGCCGAAGAUUCCCUACUGCUGCCUCCCGUAGGAGUCUGGGCCGUGUCUCAGUCCCAGUGUGGCCGAUCACCCUCUCAGGUCGGCUAUGUAUCGUCGCCUUGGUGAGCCGUUACCUCACCAACUAGCUAAUACAACGCAGGUCCAUCUGGUAGUGAUGCAAUUGCAUCUUUCAAUUAAUUAUCAUGCAAAUAAUCUAAUUUUAUGCGGUAUUAGCUUAUCGUUUCCAAUUAGUUACUCCCCCGCUACCCAGGCUAGGUUACCUACGUCGUUAACUCACCCGUUCGCAACUCAUCCAAGAGAGCAAGCUCCUCUCUUCAGCGUUCUACUUGCUAUGUAUUAGGCACGCCGCCAGCGUCUCUGUACG
rnacentral:rRNA from 1 species